AUCAGUUCAAUAAAGAUUCUCACAGAGAACACACAUGAAACAUGAUGUCAGGAAGUGAAGAAAAAUAGAUUUUUUAAUCUUGGAAAUUAUGCAGAGAAGACACAGUUCAGAAAGACACACAAAUGUUCAAAUCCCAGAAAAACUGCUGCUAAAAAAUAGUUCAGGAAAAGCACAAAGCUGCAAAACAACGACAAAGGAAAGGCAAACACAAAAGGACAAGCAAAAGGCAAGCAAACGCAUAUACAAGUAAAUACUAGUUAGCGAGGGAGACAUUAUGUCAGUGCAAGGAAAUGUAUGGGCAGAAAGUCAAUGAAGCAGUUCUACAGGAAUAUGUACACAUCAGAGUUAAACUGGAAAAUCUGAAGGGCAAAAUUCCAGCUGGGUAUAUGCCAUUGAAAACGCACGAUAACCUCAAGCCUUCAAUGAAUCAAGCUGUGCGAGAUCUGAACAAACAAAUUUCAGAGACGACACAAAACGUAUCGGGAAGAAAUAAUGACUCUCAAUACCACAGUUGGCAAUUCAACGCAGUAGUUGAAAAAUCUCAACCAGCUCUAUAGGGCCAACCAUUGGCAUAUACGAUGAGCUAGCAAAGCUGCUCCUUCAUCACAAUCAGCUGGUCAAGGAGAAAGGAUCUCACCAGCUGUACUGAGUACAGAACUACCAUCAAUCCCAGAGGUCCAUGUGCCUCCAAUAACUCCAAUGGGACAAUAGUCACCAAGGCUAGAAUUGCCAUGGGAACGACACUCUCCAGAGAAGAAAAAUCACCCAGAUGUAUAGCCAAUGUCAACGUGCACAUGGACAAUCAAGAGACCAGAACAAUAUAAAGACUGUGUGUGCAAUACAUGUGCAGAGACUACUAGCAGAACAAAAUUGUUAAUGCAUUAUAACAGUGGGUAUAUGGUGGGUAACCUGGGUAACCCACAGUCACACAGGAUCAUACAUGCAAGUGUGUCUUUUGUUUGCUAGGAAAAGGGGUUAUUUGUAUGUUUUGUUCAAUAUGCAAAAGGGGAUGUUUAGUAAACAUUACAUUUCCAAAACCUAAGUGUACUACCUGGCUUGCCAUAGUCAUGUGACUCUGCCAUGAGGCAAACUGACUGUAGGCUGCCAUUUCUGAUCAGUUCAAUAAAGGCUCUCACAGAGAACACACUGAA